rnacentral:rRNA from 2 species
AAACCAACAGGGAUUGCCCUAGUAACGGCGAGUGAAGCGGCAACAGCUCAAAUUUGAAAUCUGGCCUUCGGGUCCGAAUUGUAAUUUGCAGAGGAUGCUUUUGGCGAGGUGCCUUCCGAGUUCCCUGGAACGGGACGCCUUAGAGGGUGAGAGCCCCGUACGGUUGGACACUAAGCCUCUGUAAAGCUCCUUCGACGAGUCGAGUAGUUUGGGAAUGCUGCUCUAAAUGGGAGGUAAAUUUCUUCUAAAGCUAAAUACCGGCCAGAGACCGAUAGCGCACAAGUAGAGUGAUCGAAAGAUGAAAAGCACUUUGAAAAGAGGGUUAAAUAGCACGUGAAAUUGUUGAAAGGGAAGCGUUUACGGCCAGACCUUUUCCUAGCGGAUCAUCUAGUGUUCUCACUGGUGCACUUCGUUAGGUUUAGGCCAGCAUCGGCUUCUGUAGAGGGAUAAAAGCAGUGGGAAAGUAGCUCUCUCGGGAGUGUUAUAGCCCUAAGCAUAAUACCUUUACGGGGGCCGAGGACCGCGCUUUUGCAAGGAUGCUGGCGUAAUGGUCGUCAACGAC